rnacentral:rRNA from 1 species
UACGUAGGGUGCAAGCGUUAAUCGGAAUUACUGGGCGUAAAGCGUGCGCAGGCGGUUGUGCAAGACAGAUGUGAAAUCCCCGGGCUUAACCUGGGAACUGCAUUUGUGACUGCACGGCUAGAGUGCGGGCAGAGGGGGAUGGAAUUCCGCGUGUAGCAGUGAAAUGCGUAGAUAUGCGGAGGAACACCGAUGGCGAACGGCAAUCCCCUGGGCCUGCACUGACGCUCAUGCACGAAAGCGUGGGGAGCAAACAGG